rnacentral:rRNA from 1 species
GCCGAUGAAGGACGUGGAACACUGCGAUAAGCCUCGGGGAGCCGUGUGCAGGCUACGAUCCGGGGAUGUCCGAAUGGGGAAACCCGCCGCCGCGAUCCGGCGUCAUCCCUCAACUGAACACAUAGGUCGAGGGAAGGGAACCUGGGGAACUGAAACAUCUUAGUACCCAGAGGAAAAGAGAUCAUUCCGCUAGUAGUGGCGAGCGAACGCGGAACAGCCCAAACCGGUCUGGCUUGCUGGGCCGGGGUUGUAGGACCGGCAGAUGGGAGUGAUAAAUCGGAGGGCUAGCAGAAUGGUGUUGAAAAGCCAACCAUAGAGGGUGCUAGUCCCGUAUGCGAAAACCGUCCGACUCCCGCCGGGAUCCUGAGUACCACCGGGCACGCUA